UAAUUUCUUGGGACGUUAUAGCCUCUUAAUAAUCCUUCACAAACAGACUGUAUUUUCUCCAUAUUUAUAUCAUAUCGAACAGGUUAAUUAGUUAAUAUUUCACUAUCUAUUAAGUGAAGUCUUUGGCUGCAUAAACUCUUUUUUGUGAAAUAAAGUUAAAUGUUCCCAUGUUUCCAUUUUGUGCAAUUGGAAAUGAGGUGCCGUAUCAGUUAAUUUUUCUUGGGACGUUAUAGCCUCUUAAAAUAAUCCUUCACAAACAGACUGUAUUUUCUCCAUAUUAUAUCAUUCGAACAGUUAGGUUCAUAUCCUUAUUUUAAACCCCGAGACUGUAAUCGAACUCUAGUAUCCUCAAACACCUUGAAAAUCCUCCACAAUGGCAUAUAACAUUACUAUGUGGGUAAUUAUCAUUCCUAGCCCUCCACGAACAUUUAGAUUAGCAAGCAACACAAUAAAAAGUCAACAUAAAUCUAUAUCUAUUACAACUUGACCAAGUCAAAACAAAAUCUACUUUAAUUCUCUCUCUUGCAAUUGAGCUCAUAAAAAGUGAUAAUAUCUUAUUCACUUAACUGCUUACUUGAGCAAACCGGCUCCACCCAUGAUCUUGCAACUUCAACAUAGCAAUGUACAUCUUUAUCAGCAUAUGUAAAGUAGUGGAAACGCUUAUCUCACCGGAGGGAGGAGCCGAUUUGCUCAAGCGAAAUAGCUAAGUGAGAAGAUACCAUCACCUUUUAUGAGCUCAAUUGCAAGAGAGAAAAUUAAACUAAUUAGGUGAGAUACCGUUUCCACCACUUCUACAAAAAUGCAAUGUCAUAGACAUUCACUUCACUUCCAUUUAACGAUGACCAAAAACUUGAGGGGAAGAAUCUGGCUGCAUGCGGCUUCUGUAAAUAAAGCCUAUAGUCGAUUUGCUACACAUCCUUCUUUGGUCUUUCUCUUAUACUUAUACUUUCACUAUUAGUAUGUAGAUUUCAUAUGUAGACUCACAUAAAACUCCCAGAUCUACUUAACUGCUUACUUGAGCAAACCGGCUCCACCCUUAGGUGAGAUAACCGUUUCCACCACUUCUACAAAAAUGCAAUGUCAUAGACAUUCACUUCACUUCCAUUCCUGGAACUUCCAGUACAUACAUUUCAGACAUGCUUUUGUGUUUCCAUGACCCUCACUGGAGGAGGCCAUGCAGGGUAAAGCUGUACCUCCUGUUAAACUUGAGCGCACUUCAUUGUCUCCAUGGAAGGUGAACCCGGGCAAACCCCCAAUCCGUGCAAAACGCCCCAUCAACACAACAUAUGUG
rnacentral:lncRNA from 1 species